rnacentral:rRNA from 1 species
CCUACGGGUGGCUGCAGUGGGGAAUAUUGCACAAUGGGGGAAACCCUGAAGCAGCGACGCCGCGUGAGGGAAGAAGUAUUUCGGUACGUAAAGCCCUUUCAUCAGGGAAGAAAAUGACGGUACCUGACGAAUAAGCCCCGGCUAACUACGUGCCAGCAGCCGCGGUAAUACGUAGGGUGCAAGCGUUAUCCGGAAUUACUGGGUGUAAAGAGAGCGUAGGCGGGAGCGCAAGUCAGGUGUGAAAUGCUAGGGCGUAACCACGGAACUGCAUUGGAAACUGUUAAGCUAGAGUGUGGGAGAGGUAGGUGGAAUUCUUGGUGUAGCGGUAAAAUGCGUAGAGAUCAAGAGGAAUACUGAUGGCGAAGGCGACUUGCUGGAACAUAACUGACGUUGAGGCGCGAAGGCGUGGGGAGCAAACAGGAUUAGAUACCCUAGUAGUC